AACGUAGGAGACAAGCGUUAUCCGGAAUCACUGGGCGUGAAGGGUGCGUGGGCGGUCUGUCAAGUCAGAAGUGAAAGGCAAUGGCUUAACCAUUGUAAGCUUUUGAAACUGACGGACUUGAGUGCAGGAGAGGUAAGUGGAAUUCCUAGUGUAGCGGUGAAAUGCGUAGAUAUUAGGAGGAACACCAGUGGCGAAGGCGACUUACUGGACUGUAACUGACGCUGAGGCACGAAAGCGUGGGGAGCGAACA
rnacentral:rRNA from 1 species